rnacentral:rRNA from 1 species
CGAGGGGAGUGAAAAAGAACCUGAAACCGUGUACGUACAAGCAGUGGGAGCACGCUUAGGCGUGUGACUGCGUACCUUUUGUAUAAUGGGUCAGCGACUUAUAUUCUGUAGCAAGGUUAACCGAAUAGGGGAGCCGAAGGGAAACCGAGUCUUAACUGGGCGUUAAGUUGCAGGGUAUAGACCCGAAACCCGGUGAUCUAGCCAUGGGCAGGUUGAAGGUUGGGUAACACUAACUGGAGGACCGAACCGACUAAUGUUGAAAAAUUAGCGGAUGACUUGUGGCUGGGGGUGAAAGGCCAAUCAAACCGGGAGAUAGCUGGUUCUCCCCGAAAGCUAUUUAGGUAGCGCCUCGUGAAUUCAUCUCCGGGGGUAGAGCACUGUUUCGGCAAGGGGGUCAUCCCGACUUACCAACCCGAUGCAAACUGCGAAUACCGGAGAAUGUUAUCACGGGAGACACACGGCGGGUGCUAACGUCCGUCGUGAAGAGGGAAACAACCCAGACCGCCAGCUAAGGUCCCAAAGUCAUGGUUAAGUGGGAAACGAUGUGGGAAGGCCCAGACAGCCAGGAUGUUGGCUUAGAAGCAGCCAUCAUUUAAAGAAAGCGUAAUAGCUCACUGGUCGAGUCGGCCUGCGCGGAAGAUGUAACGGGGCUAAACCAUGCACCGAAGCUGCGGCAGCGACGCUGA